UAGCGAAGGGGGCUAGCGUUGUUCGGAAUCACUGGGCGUAAAGGGCGCGUAGGCUGGCUUUGAUAAGUCGGGGGUGAAAGCCUGUGGCUCAACCACAGAAUUGCCUUCGAUACUGUAGAGCUUGAGACCGGAAGAGGUAAGUGGAACUGCGAGUGUAGAGGUGAAAUUCGUAGAUAUUCGCAAGAACACCAGUGGCGAAGGCGGCUUACUGGUCCGGUACUGACGCGUGAGGCGGCGAAAGCGUGGGGAGCAAACGGG
rnacentral:rRNA from 1 species